GACUCUGGUCUAUAAGUUCAGAUUAUUCACAACAACAUGAUGAUCACAACUGCUCUGAUCCAACUCUCUGCAGCUCUGCUCUGUAUUGGAGGUCUAACUGAUGGAGGUGACGUCACUCAGACUCCUCUGCUGUGGAAGAACCAGAGUGACUCUGCCACCAUGAACUGCAGUCACGCUAAGGGUGUCUCGUACUCCCAGAUGUACUGGUACAGACAGCGACCUGGAGAGUUCAUGAAACUAAUCGUCCUGACAACCUUAACUCCACCACAUAAGUAUGAAAGUGGAUUCAACCAGGAGAAAUUUCUCCUGGUUGAACAACACACUGAAGAACAACACUCAGACUGGAUCUCUGAUGGUGAAGGAGCUUCUGGCUGAAGACAGUGGAGUGUAUUUCUGUGCUGUGAGUGUACACAGUGAUACAGGUGAUAGAGACAGCUGAACAAAAACCCAACUAUUGGACUCAAGUCAGUGUCUUUAAUGACCUGUAGGGGG